rnacentral:lncRNA from 1 species
GUUCUGUCCACUUUAGCUACCCCUCCUGGAGCCACCCCCUCCAUUCAUAACUACAGAGCUCGAGGUGGCUUCUCUCUGUGCAAGGGAACCAAGAGGCUCCUCCCACAAAAUACCUAAGAGGAGAUUAAGGAUUUUACUUUUUCCAUUCAUCCAUCUUUCUCUGGAUCUGCAGGUCAGUCAGUGCAAGACAGGGGUGAACAGGGUCACUGCCUACUCAAAACUUUCCUCCCUAUCAAGUGCUCUGCUAUACCAGUUCCCAGUCCCCUGCCACCUGCUUGGAUCACCAGGAAGUAUGUAAAAGGUGGUGCCUGCUAUAUUUUGGGCCUGUCUGUGAGUGUGGGUAACAUUCCUGGAAGGAGUCCCGCUGUGUACUUCUAUUUCUGCAGUUCCUUCUUGCAGGGAGAUUGUGUGUUGCUGCACACAUGCACACAUGUGAUUCACUGACAGCAGGAAAGGUGUAAGCAGCUUGUGAGAGUUCCUUCCUCCUUGUCCCUUCUCCAGUGGCCUGUAUCUCUCUGGUUUCCCAGAAAAGGCCAUCAUAAACUUCUUUGCCAGGGACCAAAAGGCCUGUGCUCUCCAGGGCAGGCACUGGGGCCCUGAGGCAGGCUUUCCCCAGAUCCACCGCUUGGAGCCCUGUCCCCUAGCCUCUCCUGCACCUUCUCACUCCUCCCACCACCAAGAAGCAUGAAGAUGAGCUGCAAUACGCUACGGCCCAGAGGACUGCAAUACGCGACGGCCUAGUGAACAGGAAGGUGCGACAUAAGAGAAGAGGGUUUUCCAGCUUGGAGGUGCAGGAGGGCAAAGGGUAGGAAGGAGAAAAACAGGGAUGGUGAAAAUACAGAACGGCCUCUGCAUGGGGCGGACCCCACCUCUUCGCUGACUCUGCCCGUGCGGUUCCUGUCUCUCUUGGCUUUGUCCCUGUGCUCUCUUCUGCUUUUUUCUCUGUGUCUGUGUCUGUCGCUUUCUCUCCUUGUCUGUCUCUGUCCCUAUGCAGUGUCUCUCUGUCUCUCAUGCACACACACUGCAUUCUCACCCUCCCUCAAUUCCACCUCAUCCUCUGUUUCUGACAGGCUCAAGGUCCAUGUCAAGCACCAGCCCCACAGGGUAGCAUUCCUGGCUGCCAUCCUGCUGCUGCUGCUGCUGCAGGUAAAAGGAGCCAAGACUCAGAAGAGCAGCACAGGGCCGGAGGAGGGGGCCCUGGAAGAGAAAACGCCCCCUGCAGGUAGGUGGGGAAGGGGAGGCCAGUCUGGAGGGAAGGCUGGACCUGUUUGAGGUCAGGCCCUAGGCAGCUGCUUAGGUGACAGUGGAUCUCAGAUAGGUUUGGGUUAUGGGAGACAACGCCAGGUCCUUGUCAUCAUGCAGUGACACAAGGGUGUCCUGUAAAAGGUCUGGAGUGGGGGUUCCUCACCAGGGGACAGCAUGGCCAGCUGCAGUGCAUGUAGCUUCUGUGUGAGUGAGCAAGCGUGUCUGUCCACAAGACAUCUGUGGUUUUCAGUGCACUGGAAGGUGUGGCUCACUCCCCAGCUGGGGUCACACUGGAGGAGACAGCAUUCGAGGUGUGUGUGAGGGGGGCUGUUUGAGUUGGGGCUGUGCUUGAACCCGGGUCAGAAAAGACCUCUAGAUAGCGCAUCACAUUCUGGCCAAAGCCCAAGAUGUGGCCAUUGGGCCAAAUGCCCUUGGCCCUCCCAUAUCCUGACUUCUUCCCCUGCUGGUUCAGGGUCAGGGUAGGAGCAGAUCUGGGUCAGGCCUGGCCUUCUCUCCUGUUCCAGAGCAGGGCCAAGAGCAGUAUGAAGAGCACUUCAUGGCCUCCUCGGAGGGUGAGAAGUGGCAGGUGAUGGACAUGGCCCGGCAAGAGGAGGACUUCACCUCUGACACAGCAGCUGCCCAAGACCACCGCCUCUUCGAUCUGGCUCUCUGCUUUAACUUGGCCAGCAUCAUGGUUUUUUUCUUUUUUUUUGAGGGAUGUUGAGAAUAAGGAGAUGGCUUGGCUCCUGGAGGAGGAAGACCCAGAUUUUUUUUCCUUGACUUCUUGAUCGCUUACUGAUCUCCACUCUCUACUGGGUUCCAUGCCACAGCUCCCCAAAGAGAUACCCACACCACUCCCUGCACACUGCUCCCUGCUCUUGCCAGCGGCACCUGUCCUUAGGGUGCAGCCUUUCCUGCAUGGCUUCUGCCUGAUGCCACCCCAAGCCCACAGCUCUAUGGUCCAGGGCCAGAGGCCUCAGAGCCGUGCCCUUUUCCCUCCCAUGCCUCCACUGGUUUUGUCCAAUAUAGCAGAUUGGAGGGCAGAGGCAUUGACAGUAAAACAGCAAUAAAAUCCUGAAAAUAAUUAGGAGAAACUUUCUGAGACUUAACCAAGCCCUUGAGUUUCUAACUGCUCUGUUUAAUUGCCCAGUCUUUGACCUUCAGACCCACCAACUCACCGGGUGCCUAUUCUUUCCUAUUCUAAUGUUCAGGGAGCCCUUCUUGACAUUUUUCCCUCUUAUCUUUUCUGACUUCUAGGAAUAAAAAAUAGCAUGUAAAUCAUUAAGAGAUGACAGAAGCCAAGUGUCAGCUUUUAUUUUUGGAAG